ensembl:miRNA
ACCCGGGAAGUCCCUGACACUCGAUAUUUGACGAAAAGUGGUGUUGAAGGACUUCCCUGGAGG